rnacentral:misc_RNA from 1 species
CUGAGAAAUUGCCCUUCGGGGUAGAUCUCCCACCCUAUGUUUAUCUUACUUUGUUGCUUUGGCAGGCCCGUCCUCGGACCGCCGGCUUCGGCUGGUCAGUGCUUGCCAGAGGACCCCAAACUCUGAAUAUUUAUUGUCUGAGUAUUAUAUAAUAAGUUA